rnacentral:rRNA from 1 species
UACGUAGGUGGCAAGCGUUGUCCGGAAUCAUUGGGCGUAAAGCGCGUGUAGGCGGUCCGGUAAGUCCGCUGUGAAAGUCGGGGGCUCAACCCUCGAAUGCCGGUGGAUACUGUCGGGCUAGAGUGCGGAAGAGGCGAGUGGAAUUCCCGGUGUAGCGGUGAAAUGCGCAGAUAUCGGGAAGAACACCCGGUGGCGAAGGCGGCUCUCUGGAACGCAACUGACGCUGA